rnacentral:rRNA from 1 species
UACGUAGGUGGCAAGCGUUGUCCGGAUUUACUGGGCGUAAAGCGUGCGCAGGCGGUUAUUUAAGACAGAUGUGAAAUCCCCGGGCUCAACCUGGGACCUGCAUUUGUGACUGCAUAGCUAGAGUACGGUAGAGGGGGAUGGAAUUCCGCGUGUAGCAGUGAAAUGCGUUGAUAUCCUAAGGAACACCGGUGGCGAAAGCGGCUCACUGGAUCUCUUCUGACGCUGAGGCACGAAAGCUAGGGUAGCAAACGGG